AACCACUCUUUAUCUAGAGAUUUUGGGAACUGAAGCUUUUAGUGGGUCAACGAAGGCUGGAAGAUAAUAGUCCAAGGUCCAGAAGACUGUCUUGACCAUUUAGGGGUGUCUGGCAAGUAGUAGAUGUGUAACACAUGUGUUGACUGACCGACUGAAUGAAUAAGCUGUCCUCUCCAGCAUUCCUCAUAGAUCCUCAUAGCCAUGCAUGUAUUUCAUUGGCUGCCUAAGCAGUGGUGAUUGGUUCUUAAAGUGAGUUCAGAUUAUGUGGCAAUUGGCCCCAACUUCCCAUCUCAAGGCAGGUUACAAUUGAUGGAUCCUGUGGCUUUUCUAUCUGCACAGGGAAGGAAUUUACAACCAGAAGAAACAAAGCACUUAAACAUUCUAGAGAUUUACUUCAUGACUUCUUUUAAUUAAAGUUAAUUCCUUAUUAAAGAGGUACUCAUAUUUCCAAUCCCGCAUCUUCUUUCUCAAAGAGAGCACUCACACUAUUGUUUGUGCAACUGCAAGUAUUUGAUGGGUUUCAAAUUAU